UGGGUUUCUGAGCUUCUCUGAGCUGACAUGGCCUCAUCAGUAGGAGCAAAAUACCAAACUGGCAACGUUGAUAGCAAUGGGGUUGACACUGGUAAAGAUACGGUCUGGGAUGCUGAUAUCCCAUUGGAUGCCGGUUCCUGUCCCAGCUGCUCCACUUCUAAUCCAGCCCCUGUUAAUGACCUAGGAAAGAAAUAAUUUUUAUUAAACACUCCAGGAUUACAGAAGAUCAUAUAUAAAAUACGUUUUGAACUCUGAGAAAAUGACAAUAAAUCCCCAGGAAUUCUUCAGCCAGCAAGUGCUCAGGAUCAGUCCACGAGGUGAGGCACUGAGGAUCCCCUUGUGUGCAGACAGACUCAGUGGCUGCCCAAGAACCCAGGAAGGAACACAGCCUUUGAGAUCGUCAUACACAACAGUGGCAUAUACUACAAGGGGAAGUACAAAGCUACUACAAGGCUCCGUGUAGAGGCCAUAAGAUCAUUCGAGUAACUUAAGGAAGUCAGGGAUGGCUUCCCGGAUGAAGCGAUGAUUGAAGCAUGAAUGGGAAAAGCAUUCCGGAUAAGGAACAACACGUGCAAAGCCCUGUGUGUAGAGAUCCCAGUUGAAAGGACCGAAAAGAGGCCAGGGAGGUGGGAGACCCGUCAGUGAUGAGGCCUGAAGUGGAGAGGGGAGGGGAGAGCAGGCCUGCCGAGCUCUGGAUUCCAGUCUUCCCUCCUAUUUGAGGUGAUUGCACUCACUUUCAGUCAUGAUCCCUCCGGCUGCAGCGUGCAGGUGGGCCAGGAAU